GCGCCCCCCGGGUCCCCGCGGCGCCGCGAGCGCGCGGAGGGGGCGGGAGCGCGGGGGGGCGCGGGCCGGUGGGGGUGGGGAGCGCAGGGAAGGGGGAGCAGCGAUCGCGAGAAAAAAAUGCAGCCUCCCAAAAUAAAGAGCAAGGACUGCGCGGGGAGCGCGCGGCGCUGCAGACGCGGAUGGCAGCCCGGGGUCCGUGAGUUCGCGGCCCCCUCGUGAUCGGAGCGCGCGUGGCUCCGCGGACCGGCCCUGCCCGCGGCCGCCGCACGGCCGCAUGCCCCGGCCCCGUCCCCGCGCCCCUCCGGCGCUGACCGCCCCUCCUGGUAGUUGACCGCACACCGCACAACAAAGGCGCUGGAUGUCUGCGCUCCCGGGGGGCGAGCGCGGCAGACGGACACACGGACAGCCCCGGCCGCGCUCGGGGGAGGGCCUCUCCUCCGCUCCUGCCCGGCAGCAGCAGCAUGGACGUGUUGGCUAGCUAUAGCAUAUUCCAGGAGCUGCAACUCGUCCACGACACCGGCUACUUCUCGGCCCUGCCGUCCCUGGAGGAGACCUGGCAGCAGACAUGCCUUGAAUUGGAACGCUACCUACAGACAGAGCCCAGGAGGAUCUCCGAGACCUUCGGCGAGGACUUGGACUGUUUCCUCCACGCCUCUCCUCCCCCGUGCAUCGAGGAAAGCUUCCGGCGCCUGGACCCCCUGCUGCUCCCCGUGGAAGCCACCAUCUGCGAGAAGAGCUCGGCAGUGGACAUUUUGCUCUCUCGGGACAAGUUGCUCUCUGAGACCUGCCUCAGCCUCCAGCCAACCAGCUCUUCUCUAGACAGCUACACAGCUGUCAACCAGGCCCAGCUCAACGCAGUGACCUCAUUAACGCCCCCAUCGUCCCCUGAGCUCAGCCGCCAUCUGGUCAAAACCUCACAGACUCUCUCAGCCGUGGAUGGCACGGUGACGUUGAAACUGGUGGCCAAGAAGGCUGCCCUCAGCUCGGUAAAGGUGGGAGGGGUGGCAACGGCGGCAGCAGCCGUGGCGGCAGCUGGGACAGUUAAGAGUGGACAGAGCGACAGUGAACAAGGAGGGGGAGGCGCUGAGACGUGCCCUGAAAACAAGAAGAGAGUCCACCGCUGUCAGUUUAACGGGUGCCGGAAGGUCUAUACAAAGAGCUCCCACCUAAAGGCCCACCAGAGGACUCACACAGGUGAGAAGCCUUACAAGUGCUCGUGGGAAGGGUGCGAGUGGCGUUUUGCACGAAGCGAUGAGCUCACGAGGCACUACAGGAAACACACAGGUGCAAAGCCCUUUAAAUGCAACCACUGCGACAGAUGAAGUUCUGUGUCGAGAGUUCUCUUGCCCUGUAAGUUCCCUGGACAUAGAAACGGAAGGAAGAGGUGUGGCCGCUGCCAAGACCUCCCCUCACCUCUCGUGUCUCGGAGCCCGGGCCCCCCUUUGGGACGGGCAGAUUCCGCUGGCUUUGUUGCUUUCUCACAGGCCCUGACCGCACGGGCCUGACCAGGUGUUUUUCCAGGUCUGACCAUCUUGCGCUCCACAUGAAGAGACAUAUCUAAAACCCUCGAGGCCAGAGUCGCCAUGGCGUCAGCCGUUGUCUGAGGGAAACGCCGUGAGGCAGGGGCUGGACUUCAGGCGGGGACCGUUGCCUCGCAGAAGAAAGUUCUCACUUAUCCACCUCUGUGUGCACACGCAGACACACGCAGACACACACGCACCCACGCAUCGACCCACACGCGCACACACUGUCAUGCACUCAGCUAUAUUUAAAAUAUAUACGUCUGUUCUUUAUGCCUUGCCCUCGCCAGAUGGUAGAAGACCAGGAGGCAGGAAACCGGGUGAACUCAGCGAGGCAGACUGGCUGCUUGCUUUAGCACCAUUGGAAUUUCUUCCCGCCGUUGCCGAUGGAAAUCGGAGAAAGCGGAUGCGAGGGCUCUGCAGGUGGACGGCAGUAAGAGGGGCUGAUUCCCCUUCUCAGUGCAACUUGAUAGGAGAAUACAACGUCUUAAAGUUGCAUAUGUGUAGCACUAAUGUUUCCUUUAAGUAGUUGGGGGAAAAAUGACCUAGAAAACCAAAUUGCAGUUUGGUAGCCAAAAUUAACUCUUGGUUCAUUUGUCCUUUGUGUGUGAAAAGUCCUGCUAUUCCGUGCGUCCGACUUCCUCACAGAACUGUCGAUGGGUUUUGGUCCUUCUUAGUACUGUUGAGAUCUUUCCAGGCGAUACCAACGGCCUUAGCGGCGGCAGACUCUGGAAAAACACCUUACACCUUUCUGGCCUGCAUUUCUCUAGACUUCACUCUCAAGGAGGAGUUUUCUUUUCUUACUUUUUGACUCUUGCACACCAUAUGCACUAGGGAUUCCGGAAACUUCUAGCAUGACUGCAAAGUGGCCAAGAGAAUAAAGUCCUUGAUGAUAAAUCACAGUAUAUCCCUUGAGCCUCACCUUAUUGCCAGUGCUAGAUUUUUUCUUUUUAAUCUCUCUGUUUUUGCUAACGAAACUUGAAAAGCUUAUUUCGAAGCUUAAAUGUUUUAUCUUUUCUCCAUGGACUAAACCUCUCCAGGACUCUCUCAGCACCUGGAUGGCCAGCUCUCAAAGCAGCCAAUCAGAUGGGACAUCACAGUUCUCUCAUCCCCCCCGAGGCAUCCUGACCUCAGCUGGUAGUGAUCAACCCCGUGCUGUCUGUCGUUGCUACCCUAUAACCAGUUUCAGCAUAGAUGUUGCUAGUCUCAAAGGGCAGCUGCAUAUUUAACCUAACUCUGGGUUAUGACCUGACAAAAAGCCAAAAAUAUCACUCUUUCCAGGAGUGGAGAAAACUGAGCAUGCCUCCCAGGUCUAGUGGCUUCAAAAGACAUCAUCCUAUCUUCCUCUCUCAUACCCACUGAGCUCAUAUUACCCUACUUGUUAAAACACACGGUUCAAAAUGCCAUUGUGGGAGCGAAGGGUGGACAUUUAAGGAAAGGGUUGAGAUGUUUCUCUUACUGUCUGUCUAAAUGGAGAGACAUAUUUCUAAUUUUUUUUGGCUAGGCCCACCAUGACCUGUGACCCAGGGACCCAGGACCCACAGAGGCUCCCGUUUGCUCUGCAGGCUGGCUCCGGGGGGGUGUGCAGUCCGCUCUUCCCAUCCCACAUACACGUCCGACAUCGGUCUCUGUGUACCACAUUUUAGCUAGCUGGCACUGGCCUCAACUCCAAAGACUGCCUUUAGGACCAUUAAAUGGCCUAUGCAAGCAAGCGGGGUGGUUAUUAGGACAGAUUGUAUAUUUUGUAUAUUCUGGGACCAUCCCUUCAAGACACGUCUAAAAAACAAAAAUGGCGCUUGGUCCACACACGUUGCUGCUCCUUCACACCAGCUGGCUCCCCUCCUGCCUCCUGUGGCUGUUUGACUCCUUGACUGUUAAAAUGCCACCCCACACCUAUUGGGAUGCAAAACUGAAGUCUUUAAAAGGAAGUAAUAAUAUAAGAAACACAAAUACAUUUAUGACAGCAACCUUCAAGAUCCUUGGCAUUUGGUUUCUCAGCUUUCCGCAACCUUUGCUUUCACUGAGAUGUUGAAACUGCUCGUCUGAGGGUGAAGGAGCCUCCUUAUCACAAUGCUGUAGCUGCCAGUUGGACUCCUGGGGCAUUCUGAGGUCUGGCCCUCAAAGUUUUCUUUCUAUUUUUCCUUUUUCAAUUUAGACCAAAAAAAAAAAAACCAUCAAAAAGAGAAAAACCACCCUAAAAACACACACACACACACACAAAAUCUGCCUAUUUGCCAGAGGCAAUUAUGUAUAUGUUAGUUGGAGGGUAUUUUAAAAAAAUCAGUUUUAUUCCAAAGAUUUAAAACUAGACAUGACUUAGAAACAAUUCCUGGAGCACUGCUUGCUGACAAUCUCUAGUCCUCUACUGCAUUUGAGUGCAUUUUGUGGCCAGUCCAUCAGCGCGCACCAUGGGGUCAUAUUUGAAUGUGUGGUGCAUCCUUUCUGGAUGAAGGAUGUGUGAGGGACCUUGAACCUCAGCUGUAUUAAACUGUAGCGCCUCCGUCAGUGCACUAGAUGAAACUUGAGACGCCCCAGAUUUUGUUGGUCGUUGACUUCCCUUUCUGGGGCAGCCUCCAGCACGAAUGCGCGCACACCCGUGAUGGCGUUAGCCGUGGCUGCCAUGAUUCACAAACGUGCUCUCCCUAGCUGGAGCCGCUCUUGCCUCUCGAAAUGCUAUUAUUAAGGGUUUAUAAUACUUAAUUUAAUUUUUGAACUGACCAAUGCAAGGCUCUAUUAAAAAGAAAGUUUUUAAAAAAAAAAAAAAAAGAAUGCAAAAGAGUAAUCGUUUCUUGUUUGCUCCCUGUUGCCAUCUGUGGUCUUGAAAAGAUCUCAUUUGAAUGUGGCGGAACAAAGGCCCUUUGGUCCUGAUCAGUGUCUGAAAUGCUCAGUAGUUCCUCUCUCUUUUGUCCCAGUGAGGUCCUUUGUAAUCUGCCCCUGGCCUUUCUCAGAGCAGGGUGCGCUGAACCGCAGUUGGGGGGUUUGCUUGCUUCAGAGUCACUUGUCAACUGUGAGAAUUGGCCUGAGAAUUUGGUGGGUGCUAAGUGUAUGGCUUUGAAACUAUUCUUUUCCAGCUUGAUGACACCUGUGAACGAUGAGCAGUCCUAUCCACGGGAGUCAGGGGAGCCCCAGUCAUUUUGGAAACAGAUUUGUGAUAAAAUAUCCAUCAUCUCUCAAGUGGCAGAGAUGGCUGGGAAGAGCCUGCUGCAGGAAACAGGCUUCCUAAGAAAUAACCUGAAGGUAUUUUGCUCCCAAGAGGACAGGUUAUUUAAAACAGUGCUUUAAUGGACAUUUGAAGCACAUUAAACUGCUUUCUCGUUUAAAUUGUUACCUCCUAACAUUCCAGGGGAUCCCAAAUUUGAGAGGAGACACCUGGCCUGGUGUUUCUUGUGCUUGUCCCCCAAGCACACCUAAUGCGGGGCUCAGAGCUGUUGUAGAAAAAGAGUGUUUCUAAGCCAUUGACAGUUUUCUUUAUUUCAAGUUCUGCUUCUUCCCCCUGCCACAUGGCUGUAAGUCAAAGAUGUGGAAACCUGAAAUUAUAAUGCUGCUCCCAGCAACUGGCCUCCUGCCCCACUCUUGGUUAAUUGGCCCAGCUUAAUGCCUGGUGGUGAUGAGCGUUAUAUCCAGAAAAAGAGAUGUUUGGAUUCCAUGACGAAGCUGCAUUUUAUGAGAGUAUCGGAGACCCCAAGAUCAACGUGAUGCUGACCAUUUCCUUCUCCUCUCUGUGUACUGUCCCUUGCAAAGCCCUUCAAAACCCCUCUCGUCGCUCCUGCACCUCUUGUGCCCUUCUUACAUCUUUGAUUGCCUGAUUAUAACAGGGUAAAAAGACAGCCAACCUCAUGCACGAUUACCAGACCUGAUUCCUAUUUUUAAAAAAUCUUCUUUGAAUCCAGAAGCCAGAGAAGAUUUUUUAAAGGACUUUAGUUUGGGAUAAGCUUCCAGAUUAGCCAUGUCUAUUUGCAUCAAAGGGGAAAUAAAUGGGACUUUCAGGGCAGCUCAUCCAGAACAUUCUGCCUUUUGCCCCUACUCCUGAAUUCUAUGGCAAAUUCAAAGAAAUGAAGUCAAAUGGCAAGAACAACAAAACCUCCUGAUUAGUUCUAUUGGUUCAAAAUGGUUUCCUCUGUGGAAGUCGUUUCAUAAAAUAUAAACUACAGAGCGAAGUCUUUUGUCUUCUCUUUCACAUGAGUUGGUUUUAGGAGAAGGAAGAAGGUAGGGAAAGUCAGAGAGAUGCAACACACUUAACUACAAAAAUCAGGUUCAUUGUUUCUUCGUUUUAAAUCUUACGAGGGCCAGCAUUUCUGGUGGCAAUUUUGCACCCAGAUCUUUGCCAAAGUGAAAAUUCAUUGAGUAGAACCUGGUUGAAAUGUGCUUGUGGAGGCUUUCCCCAGCAUCUUCCAGAAGUGGCCACCUGCCAGGUGUGGGGUAGGGGCAAGAGGCAAGAGUUUGCAUUCUGGGUCUGGGUUAGAUUUCGGUAAACAUGGUGAUAUCUCAGUUUGAAAACUGGAGGGGUCGGCCUGAGUACACAUCAAUGCCUCUUUGAUGGCCUCCUUUCCUCCAUGAGGAUCUUUGGGAAUACUUGAGUUGGAACAACAAAAAUGUGUCAAAGGCAGCAAACAGUGCUUGUAGACGUGAGAUCCCAGGACCAACUGCCUGAGGCUUCAGGUUCUCUCCUGCUCUUAACACUCUCUUCAGUCUCUUCUGUUGGUUCCUAAUAGAUCCCAGAAAAGGGAACAAUAAAGCUGCAAUUAACCUUCUUCUGUGCACCCUUCCAGUAUAGUACUGUAUCCCUCAGGAGUUCUGCAUUUAUGUAUAAGUCCUCGAGAAAACAGGUUUCAGAAAUGGAGAGAGAAAUCCUAGGCUGUCACUUCACAAAUAUCCCAAACAAGAGACUUUUCAAACAGGGCUCCCUCUCGGUGGUCCUGAGGGAAGGCUGACGCAUUCUUUGUUGGGGACUGUUUAUACAAUUUUUUUCAACUGUGAGCUUUGGAAUCGUAAAUUGCUUUGACUCCAGCUUCUGUCUACUGCCAUAAAAUGGACCCCACAUCAGAAUAAUGAGGGUGGUAUGUGUGCCCACACCUGGAGGGUGUGCAUAUGUACCUAUGGUACCUUCGCAGAAGGAAAACAGGCUACUGACGUUUAAGAGGAGUAGCCACCAGUGCCUAAUAUCUUUUCGGGGGAUGGAUGCUUAUAAUGCCAGUAUACUGAAACCACACUGGGAGUUCCACACAGAGGGGAGGGGCUGCGGGUGGGAGAGGGGACCUUUUAAUCCUAGGCCUUUGGACCGGAGGCAGAAUGCUUUCUGCCAGUCUCGGUCCAGAAAGGCUUUUGGGCUCAUUGGCUGGUUCUCAACCUGUUUGGGUUUUUUUCCCAGCAUGCAUUUUCUACCUAAGCUCAGACUUAGUUUAAUUUCCUUAUCUUUCACUUCUGCUUCAUUCCAGGGAGGAAAAGUACACCUGUUACGGCCAAGAUCUCCUUGCUAACACAGAGGCAAAAAUAAAUGUUUCAUGUUUUUGAAGCCUCCCCUUCCUUUUCACAAACCCUCCCAGAGCCCUCCCCUCUCGCCACCCCUCCCCACUCCCGCCACACGACUCCCCAGCCCCCACCACCUUUCUUCCAGAUCUCUCUUCUCCUCUGAACAGUUGCUUGAGAAGUUUGUUUUGCACUGUCGUUUUCUUUUUGCCGGAUGUGUCUGACAAGCGUGUUUGGAGAGACCGACUCGCAGCCCCGCCCCGGUCACAUUCUCUCAGGCCUUCUCUGGUAUUUAUAAUAUAUCACAGAAGUACCCAGUCUUAGAGCCCUCGGUUAUGCCUUUUUUUGACAUUUUAUUUUUUUUAAGCUUUUUAUAUAUAUAUAUAAAUAUAUUACUUUGUCAAGUUUUUUUGCUGUACAAAAGUCUUAAGAUUUAAAACUAUUAUUUGUAUUAUAUGAUGGUGGUAUGUUAAUGUUACAAAAUUAUUAAUGAAGAAAAAAUUUAUUUUUGUUACUGGUCUGUUUCAUAAUUCUUUUUUAAAUUGGUAUAUUGUAAGAUAUCUAUGCAAAAAAUGUUAUGUGACGCAUUUUUAUUUAAGAAUGUAAUAUGUGUAAUAAACAGUAGAAUGUG